GGGAAUAUUGGACAAUGGGCGAAAGCCUGAUCCAGCAAUGCCGCGUGUGUGAAGAAGGUCUUCGGAUUGUAAAGCACUUUCGACGGGGACGAUGAUGACGGUACCCGUAGAAGAAGCCCCGGCUAACUUCGUGUCAG
rnacentral:rRNA from 1 species